rnacentral:rRNA from 1 species
GACGUAGGGCGCGAGCGUUGUCCGGAUUUAUUGGGCGUAAAGAGCUCGUAGGCGGCUCAUUGCGUCAACCGUGAAAACCAGCAGCUCAACUGUUGGCUUGCGGUUGAUACGGGUGGGCUGGAGUUCGGUAGGGGAGACUGGAAUUCCUGGUGUAGCGGUGAAAUGCGCAGAUAUCAGGAAGAACACCUAUGGCGAAGGCGGCUCACUGGCUCGAUACUGACGCUGAGGUGCGAAAGCGUGGGGAGCAAACAGG